UCCUGGCUCAGAUUGAACGCUGGCGAAAUGCUUUACACAUGCAAGUCGAGCGGCAGCGCGGGGCAACCUGGCGGCGAGCGGCGAACGGGUGAGUAAUACAUCGGAACAUACCCAGUUGUGGGGGAUAGCCCGGCGAAAGCCGGAUUAAUACCGCAUACGACCUGAGGGUGAAAGGGGGGGAUCGCAAGACCUCUCGCAGUUGGAGCGGCCGAUGGCGGAUUAGCUAGUUGGUGAGGUAAAGGCUCACCAAGGCGACGAUCCGUAGCUGGUCUGAGAGGACGACCAGCCACACUGGAACUGAGACACGGUCCAGACUCCUACGGGAGGCAGCAGUGGGGAAUUUUGGACAAUGGGGGCAACCCUGAUCCAGCCAUUCCGCGUGAGUGAAGAAGGCCUUCGGGUUGUAAAGCUCUUUCGGCAGGAACGAAACGGUCUCUCUUAAUACGGGAGGCUAAUGACGGUACCUGAAGAAGAAGCACCGGCUAACUACGUGCCAGCAGCCGCGGUAAUACGUAGGGUGCGAGCGUUAAUCGGAAUUACUGGGCGCAAAGCGUGCGCAGGCGGUUCUAUAAGACAGACGUGAAAUCCCCGGGCUUAACCUGNGAACUGCGUUUGUGACUGUAGGACUCGAGUGUGGCAGAGGGGGGUGGAAUUCCACGCGUA
rnacentral:rRNA from 1 species